rfam:Aureobasidium namibiae CBS 147.97 unplaced genomic scaffold scaffold_12, whole genome shotgun sequence.
GGCGCUUUGGCUGAGUGGUUAUAGCGAUAGACUAGAAAUCUAUUUCCUUCGGGAGCGCAGGUUCGAGUCCUGCAGGCGUCG